CCUACGGGGGGCAGCAGUGAGGAAUAUUGGUCAAUGGACGGAAGUCUGAACCAGCCAUGCCGCGUGCAGGAAGACGGCUCUAUGAGUUGUAAACUGCUUUUGUACAAGGGUAAACCUGAAUACGUGUAUUCAGCUGAAAGUACUGUACGAAUAAGGAUCGGCUAACUCCGUGCCAGCAGCCGCGGUAAUAAGGAGGAUCCAAGCGUUAUCCGGAUUUAUUGGGUUUAAAGGGUGCGUAGGCGGGUUGAUAAGUUAGAGGUGAAAUGUCCGAGCUUAACUCGGGAACUGCCUCUAAUACUGUUGAUCGAGAGAGUAGAUGCGGUAGGCGGAAUGUAUGGUGUAGCGGUGAAAUGCUUAGAGAUCAUACAGAACACCGAUUGCGAAGGCAGGUUACCAAUCUAUAUCUGACGUUGAGGCACGAAAGCGUGGGGAGCAAACAGGAUUAGAUACCCCAGUAGUC
rnacentral:rRNA from 1 species